rnacentral:rRNA from 1 species
GGUUAAGCGACUAAGCGUACACGGUGGAUGCCCUGGCAGUCAGAGGCGAUGAAGGACGUGCUAAUCUGCGAUAAGCGUCGGUAAGGUGAUAUGAACCGUUAUAACCGGCGAUUUCCGAAUGGGGAAACCCAGUGUGAUUCGUCACACUAUCAUUAACUGAAUCCAUAGGUUAAUGAGGCGAACCGGGGGAACUGAAACAUCUAAGUACCCCGAGGAAAAGAAAUCAACCGAGAUUCCCCCAGUAGCGGCGAGCGAACGGGGAGCAGCCCAGAGCCUGAAUCAGUGUGUGUGUUAGUGGAAGCGUCUGGAAAGGCGCGCGAUACAGGGUGACAGCCCCGUACACAAAAAUGCACAUGCUGUGAGCUCGAUGAGUAGGGCGGGACACGUGGUAUCCUGUCUGAAUAUGGGGGGACCAUCCUCCAAGGCUAAAUACUCCUGACUGACCGAUAGUGAACCAGUACCGUGAGGGAAAGGCGAAAAGAACCCCGGCGAGGGGAGUGAAAAAGAACCUGAAACCGUGUACGUACAAGCAGUGGGAGCACGCUUAGGCGUGUGACUGCGUACCUUUUGUAUAAUGGGUCAGCGACUUAUAUUCUGUAGCAAGGUUAACCGAAUAGGGGAGCCGAAGGGAAACCGAGUCUUAACUGGGCGUUAAGUUGCAGGGUAUAGACCCGAAACCCGGUGAUCUAGCCAUGGGCAGGUUGAAGGUUGGGUAACACUAACUGGAGGACCGAACCGACUAAUGUUGAAAAAUUAGCGGAUGACUUGUGGCUGGGGGUGAAAGGCCAAUCAAACCGGGAGAUAGCUGGUUCUCCCCGAAAGCUAUUUAGGUAGCGCCUCGUGAAUUCAUCUCCGGGGGUAGAGCACUGUUUCGGCAAGGGGGUCAUCCCGACUUACCAACCCGAUGCAAACUGCGAAUACCGGAGAAUGUUAUCACGGGAGACACACGGCGGGUGCUAACGUCCGUCGUGAAGAGGGAAACAACCCAGACCGCCAGCUAAGGUCCCAAAGUCAUGGUUAAGUGGGAAACGAUGUGGGAAGGCCCAGACAGCCAGGAUGUUGGCUUAGAAGCAGCCAUCAUUUAAAGAAAGCGUAAUAGCUCACUGGUCGAGUCGGCCUGCGCGGAAGAUGUAACGGGGCUAAACCAUGCACCGAAGCUGCGGCAGCGACGCUGAUGCGUUGUUGGGUAGGGGAGCGUUCUGUAAGCCUGCGAAGGUGUGCUGUGAGGCAUGCUGGAGGUAUCAGAAGUGCGAAUGCUGACAUAAGUAACGAUAAAGCGGGUGAAAAGCCCGCUCGCCGGAAGACCAAGGGUUCCUGUCCAACGUUAAUCGGGGCAGGGUGAGUCGACCCCUAAGGCGAGGCCGAAAGGCGUAGUCGAUGGGAAACAGGUUAAUAUUCCUGUACUUGGUGUUACUGCGAAGGGGGGACGGAGAAGGCUAUGUUGGCCGGGCGACGGUUGUCCCGGUUUAAGCGUGUAGGCUGGUUUUCCAGGCAAAUCCGGAAAAUCAAGGCUGAGGCGUGAUGACGAGGCACUACGGUGCUGAAGCAACAAAUGCCCUGCUUCCAGGAAAAGCCUCUAAGCAUCAGGUAACAUCAAAUCGUACCCCAAACCGACACAGGUGGUCAGGUAGAGAAUACCAAGGCGCUUGAGAGAACUCGGGUGAAGGAACUAGGCAAAAUGGUGCCGUAACUUCGGGAGAAGGCACGCUGAUAUGUAGGUGAAGCGACUUGCUCGUGGAGCUGAAAUCAGUCGAAGAUACCAGCUGGCUGCAACUGUUUAUUAAAAACACAGCACUGUGCAAACACGAAAGUGGACGUAUACGGUGUGACGCCUGCCCGGUGCCGGAAGGUUAAUUGAUGGGGUUAGCGCAAGCGAAGCUCUUGAUCGAAGCCCCGGUAAACGGCGGCCGUAACUAUAACGGUCCUAAGGUAGCGAAAUUCCUUGUCGGGUAAGUUCCGACCUGCACGAAUGGCGUAAUGAUGGCCAGGCUGUCUCCACCCGAGACUCAGUGAAAUUGAACUCGCUGUGAAGAUGCAGUGUACCCGCGGCAAGACGGAAAGACCCCGUGAACCUUUACUAUAGCUUGACACUGAACAUUGAGCCUUGAUGUGUAGGAUAGGUGGGAGGCUUUGAAGUGUGGACGCCAGUCUGCAUGGAGCCGACCUUGAAAUACCACCCUUUAAUGUUUGAUGUUCUAACGUUGACCCGUAAUCCGGGUUGCGGACAGUGUCUGGUGGGUAGUUUGACUGGGGCGGUCUCCUCCUAAAGAGUAACGGAGGAGCACGAAGGUUGGCUAAUCCUGGUCGGACAUCAGGAGGUUAGUGCAAUGGCAUAAGCCAGCUUGACUGCGAGCGUGACGGCGCGAGCAGGUGCGAAAGCAGGUCAUAGUGAUCCGGUGGUUCUGAAUGGAAGGGCCAUCGCUCAACGGAUAAAAGGUACUCCGGGGAUAACAGGCUGAUACCGCCCAAGAGUUCAUAUCGACGGCGGUGUUUGGCACCUCGAUGUCGGCUCAUCACAUCCUGGGGCUGAAGUAGGUCCCAAGGGUAUGGCUGUUCGCCAUUUAAAGUGGUACGCGAGCUGGGUUUAGAACGUCGUGAGACAGUUCGGUCCCUAUCUGCCGUGGGCGCUGGAGAACUGAGGGGGGCUGCUCCUAGUACGAGAGGACCGGAGUGGACGCAUCACUGGUGUUCGGGUUGUCAUGCCAAUGGCACUGCCCGGUAGCUAAAUGCGGAAGAGAUAAGUGCUGAAAGCAUCUAAGCACGAAACUUGCCCCGAGAUGAGUUCUCCCUGACUCCUUGAGAGUCCUGAAGGAACGUUGAAGACGACGACGUUGAUAGGCCGGGUGUGUAAGCGCAGCGAUGCGUUGAGCUAACCGGUACUAAUGAACCGUGAGGCUUAACCUU